GUCCCGCCCGGGACCGAGGGCCCUCCUGGGCCGGGAAAACUGCAAUUCCCGGCAUGCCCUGCCACGGCUGCGCCUGCGUACGGAAGAUAUCGCGCCGCGGAGCGGGUUGUUUUAAAGCGCUGUCUUAGUUCCAUGGAAACUGGACCGCCUGCAGCCGGACAGAGCCACCGGUUGACAGAUGGACUGUGGGGUGCAUAUAGAAACUGCAAUGUCCAGACCAAUCCUUUCUCCAACCCACAUCAAUGCCACAGCUUCUGAAACAUUCACAGUACUCCAGCAAAGGAUGAGAAUAGUUGAGGAACAGACCAGUUCUCUGAGGAAUGACCUAAUCAUGUUGGACUUCAGUGAAAAAAGAGGCCAAUUGGAAGCUCCAAACUGUUUAGAAGACCCUGCCAGCCAGACAAUCAUUAGUCCUAUCCAGAAUGAAGUAAUUUGUUCAGGAAAAACAGAUAUUUUAUGGAAGAAUUGUGAGUUUCUGGUAAAUCGAAUGUGCCGUCUGGAAAGCCUCAUCCAGUCCUUGAAGAUGAACAUCUUUCGCCUGCAAACCGAAAAGGAUUUGAAUCCACAGAAAACAGCUUUUCUCAAGGAUCGACUGAAUAUAAUACAGGAGGAGCAUUCCAAGGAUCUGAAGCUGUUGCAUCUGGAAGUUAAGAAUUUGCGCCAACAACUGAGAGAUGUAAAAAAGGAAGAAGACAAGGCACAAGAUGAAGUGCAGAGGUUGACUGCCACUCUGGAGAUUGCCUCAGAAACAAAGAAGAAUGCAGCCAUUAUUGAAGAGGAAUUUAAGACCACAAAACGUAAAAUGAAUGUUAAAAUUCAGGAGCUAAGGCGACAACUGGCUCAGGAGAGGCACCUCAGGGAAUCUCUUGAGAAAUCUGGAUCAGCCAUGCUACUCAAAAUACGAGAAAUGGAAUCAACAGUGGAGGUGGAACGGAAACAGGUGCACAUUUUGCAGGAAAACAGCAUUGCCCUACGCAGUUCUAUACAGAACACCCAGGAUCUACUGGUCCAGGAACAACAAAAAAAAGGAGAGUUGGAGACUGCUACCUCACAGCUCCAGUCUGAUCUAAUUUCUAGAGAUGACAUCAUUUCCAAGUUGGUUGAAGAAAACAAGAAUGUUCAAAUGUCUUUCAACAAGGAACAGGAAGAAAAUGCAUAUUUGAGGUCUGAAAUAGUAUCUCUUCAUGAAGCAUCAGAAAAAACACAGGUUUUGAAUGAACAGCUGACUGUAAAGUGCUCAGAGCUGAGCUGCAUGCUUCAGACUGUUAAUAUGGAAAAAGCCAGGAUCAUUGCUGACCAUCAAGCCAUCCUGCAGGUAGAACAGAAAAUGAUGACGCAGACAUUUCAAGAACAAAACUUACUGCUGGAUGCAGCCCAUGCCAGUAUCAUAAGUGAACUACAGACCGUUCAGAAUGAGAAAAUCGAACUCCAAGCACAUCUGGAUCAUUUAAUCCUUGAGCAUAACCGGUGUAUUCAGAAAGCACAGGAUGCUGAGAAGAGAACAGCUGUGCAAAAAAAGCUACUAGAAUUGACUAUUGCAAGAUUGCAAGGUGAAUUGAAAGCAUCAAUGCAAGAGAACAAGUCUCUGCUAGAGGAAAAAGAAAGAUUUCAGAGAGAGGUUAAUGAAACAGAAAAAGGAAUAGCACAAGAAAAAUGCAAUUUGGAAAAGGAAUUAGCUCAAAACAAGGUAGACAUAAAUGCAUUGAAGCAAAACCUACAGACUCUAGAAGAAGAAAAUAAGCACCUGGCAAAUGAAAUGGCUUCCCUAGAACUUCCGCAAGUUGCUUCUGAUUACCAUGGGCUUGCCAGACAGAAGGUGGAAAAAGUCUUGGGAAAAAUUACUGAGAGUAAAAAUAAAUUAGCCUAUGAAAAGGGAAAACUCCAGAUAAAAGUUAAACAGCUAGAAGAACAACUACAAUCUUUCACUGAAACCAGUUCACAGAAUGACCAUCUACGCAAGUUGAAUAAGGCUCUAGAAGCCAAAUAUGCUCAGGUGAAAUCCAUUUUUGAAAAAAGUGAAGAGGAGCUGUCUCGAACAGUGAAGAGUCGUGAUGCAGCCCUGAAAGAGAGUCAGAAGUUGAGAGAGGACCUCGAGGCUUUAGAGGACAGGGAAAACAAGAAGGUGGGAAACUUUCAGCGACAAUUGGCAGAGGCUAAAGAAGACAACUGCAAAGUGACAAUCAUGUUGGAGAAUGUGCUGGCUUCUCACAGUAAGAUGCAAGGUGCUCUGGAGAAAGUACAAGUAGAGCUUGGGCAGAGGGAUUCAGAGAUUGCAGGCCUCAAGAAGGAAAGGGCUCUCAACCAACAGAGGGUGCAGAAGCUAGAAGCCGAAGUGGACCAGUGGCAGGCCAGAAUGCUUGUUGUAGAUUCCCAGCACAAUAGUGAGAUGGAGCCUCUACAGAAAGCUCUAGAUACAGCUAGAGAAGACAACAGAAAAUUGGCUAUGAGUCUAGAUCAAGCCCUCCAGACAAAUAAUCAUCUGCAAACAAAGCUAGAUCACAUUCAAGAGAAAUUGGAAAGCAAAGAGCUUGAGCGACAGAAUUUGCAAACCUUCAAAGAGCGAAUGACUGAGGAAUCCAAAGUGGAAGCAGAAUUACAUGCUGAACGCUUAGAAGCUCUAAGAAAGCAGUUUCAGACUGAGAGAGAAACUGCAAAGAAAGCAGCACAACGGGAAAUGACUGAGCUGAAGAAAGCCCUUGAUGAAGCCAACUUCAGAUCAGUGGAAGUGUCCCGGACCAACCGAGAGCUGCGGCAGAAACUUACAGAGCUUGAAAAAACGCUGAACAGUAACAAGGAGAAAAUAAAGAAUCAAAAGGCCCAAAUUAAGCUCCACUUGUCGGCUAAGGCGAAUAAUGCUCAGAAUGUAGAGAGGAUGAAGCAAAUAGAGACAGAAUUGAGGCAAAUGGAGCUAAUUAAGGAUCAAUAUCAGAAAAAAAACUAUGAACAGUCAUUGAGUAUCCAGAGGUUUGUAUGUGAAAUGACUAACCUGCAGAAAGAGAUGCAGAUGUUGGCCAGGCGCCAAUAUGAUACUUCAGCACGGAAUAAACAGCAAGAGCUGCGGCUAGAGGCAGAGCGUAGAGUAAGGCAGGAACUAGAGAGUCGAUGCCAGAAAUUAGAAGAAACUGUCAGACACCUGAAGAAAUGUAAAGAGGCAACAGAGCAUAAACUGAAAGAAGCCAGUGAAGAAUCAGAGCAGAUAACAGCUAACCUGGAAGAAGCUCACCGUUGGUUUAAGUGCAGGUUCGAUGGCCUACAACUUGAGCUGACAAAAAACCGACUGCAAAGGCUUCCCCAGGAAGAUGGGUGGCAGGAAGAGAAUUAACAAGAAGAAUCUCAGGAGUUUCUUUUGCCUCUUGAGUUGCCUGAAGAUGGCCCGCAGAUGCCAGCACUUUUGACUCUUCUCCGUUUCCACUUGCUGCAUAAACAAAUAUGGUUUACCAAAGAGACCCUCUAGAAAAAGUGGGGAUGGGAAGAGAAAAGAAGAAAUUAAGGAGAGGGGGAGAACAAACCUGUCCUGUCAUUUAACUACUGAAAUACUAAGAAUAUUUUAGGCUUUUAUAAUCUGGAGAUAUAGAGUCAACGUGAAUUGGUCUUCACUCAUCCCAAAACUGGCUUUAAUCUGCGACUUAAAGAAUGGGAUAACUGGUAGUUGGCCUCAUAGCUGUGAAGUUCUCCACAGAAACGUUCUAUUUCAAAUCUAAAAUUUGCAGUGAAGGAGGGAGGAAAUUCUUGAUGGGCCCCGCUUCAUUCAGGAGCAGACUCCCUGCUGAAUCAACUGAACAGUAGAAGCGAAUCUCAUUGCAUAAAAUUGCUAUCAGGAUCCCAUGACAGAAGGAACUCUCAACUAAGUUUGAUCCAAGACCAGAUAGAACCCGAAUCUCCAUAUUAAUCUUCUUCACUUGGUCACUGUUUUCUGACAGUAACUCUUAAGGAACAGCUUAGAACCAACAAAGAUCUCUGUGGAAAACUGAAGGUAGUCGAUGAGUUCCGGGCUGAACCCCGACAUGUCUGCAAGGUCAGUCUGUUAAGACACCGAACCGGAAGAGCAGCAGCUCCCAGACUCUACCUCACGCCGGGCCGCAGCGAGCAGGGACC